AGGAGCUGUGGAGUGCCAGGAAGAGAGAAUGCCGGAAUGAGUAGCGAGAGAGAGGUGGGAAUCCUCUCGGCCGAAUAUCCAAGGUUUCCAGAGUAAAGCUGAUCUGCUCUGGGUAAGUCGGGGCCUAAGGCGAGGACGAGAGUCGUAGCCGAUGGACAACAGGUGGAGAUUCCUGUACUGCGGUAUGACAGAACUGUGGGGACACGUAAGGAAAGCGGAAGCCGGGAAUGGAUAGCCCGGUGCAAGCGGGGUACCAGCCACUUUGGCAAAUCCGGGUGGCAAUGGGAAGCCGUGAUGCGGAGCGAAAUAAAGUAGCGAAGUCCGUGAGCCAUGCGUCAAGAAAAGCCGCUAUCGUUUAUACCGUACCCGUACCGUAAACCGACACAGGUGGAUGAGGAGAGAAUCCUAAGGCCGGCGGAAGAAGCAUUGUCAAGGAACUCGGCAAAAUGACCCCGUAACUUCGGGAGAAGGGGUGCCACUGAGAAGUGGCCGCAGAGAAUAGGCUCAAGCAACUGUUUAGCAAAAACACAGGUCUAUGCGAAACCGAAAGGUGAGGUAUAUGGGCUGACGCCUGCCCGGUGCUGGAAGGUUAAGAGGAGAGGUUAGCGCAAGCGAAGCUUUGAAUUUAAGCCCCAGUAAACGGCGGCCGUAACUAUAACGGUCCUAAGGUAGCGAAAUUCCUUGUCGGGUAAGUUCCGACCCGCACGAAUGGUGUAACGAUCUGGGCACUGUCUCAACUACCCACCCGGCGAAAUUGUAGUACCGGUGAAGAUGCCGGUUACCUGCGGCAAGACGGAAAGACCCCAUGGAGCUUUACUGUAGCCUGAUAUUGGGUUUCGGAAAUCUAUGUACAGGAUAGGCGGGAGACUGGGAAGUAUGAGCGUCAGCUUAUACGGAGUCAUUGUUGGGAUACCGCCCUUAGGUUUCUGGAAUUCUAACCUGCGACCGUGAAUCCGGUCGGGGGACAUUGUCAGGUGGGCAGUUUGACUGGGGCGGUCGCCUCCGAAAAGGUAACGGAGGCGCUCAAAGGUUGGCUCAGCACGGACGGAAACCGUGCCUGUGAGUGUAAACGCAAAAGCCAGCCUAACUGCGAGGAUGACGGUCCGAGCAGUAACGAAAGUUGGAGUUAGUGAUCCGGCGGUAUGUGAAUGGAAAUGCCGUCGCUCAACGGAUAAAAGCUACCCUGGGGAUAACAGGCUGAUCUCCCCCAAGAGUCCACAUCGACGGGGAGGUUUGGCACCUCGAUGUCGGCUCAUCACAUCCUGGGGCUGUAUUCGGUCCCAAGGGUUCGGCUGUUCGCCGAUUAAAGUGGUACGCGAGCUGGGUUCAGAACGUCGCGAGACAGUUCGGUCCCUAUCUGUCGUGGGCGCAGGAUAUUUGAGGAGCUCUGUCCUUAGUACGAGAGGACCGGGAUGGACGUACCUCUGGUGCACCAGUUGUCAUGCCAAUGGCACGGCUGGGCAGCUACGUACGGAACGGAUAAACGCUGAAAGCAUCUAAGCGUGAAGCCGACUCCAAGAUUAGAUAUCCCAUUGCAUAAGCAAGUAAGACCCCUUGAGGACUACGAGGUUGAUAGGCUGCGUGUGUAAGUGUCGUGAGGCAUUUAGCUUGGCAGUACUAAUAGGUCGAGGGCUUGACCAC
rnacentral:rRNA from 1 species